GUCCCCGAUCUCCUUCCCACUCCACCACGAUCACUAAAAGAGAAUGCUGUGGAACUGGUUUUACUAAUUGAUUUCCACUUUAAGAAACAGAGGAACAUAACCCAUAGCCUUCUCCACUAGAGUAUUUAAGAGCCUGUAAGAAAGAGAAAACAGCCACAGGAAAAAGUCCCAGCGUCCUGGAACUUUAUGGUCAGAACAGAUCAUUUUUCUGGAAGACAAGGCCGUGGUAUUUUCACUGAAAAAGUGUUAAGUCCUUUCAUCCUCUGUGAAAAGGGAAAAAAAUCUGGUCGCCAUGCAGACAGGCAGUGUUCUACAGAAGUUCAGAGGACUCUGUUGUAUUACGUGGCUGCUGCUGUGCCUUCUUGCUCAGUACGAAAAUGGUGGAAAGGUCCUGGCUUUAUCUUCAUCAGCCAAACCCUACAAAAGUAAAGGGCAAAUUAAAUAAGAUUUGAGAACUGGGGUGGUGAGGGUGGUAAUGGACCGGGUGACUGCUAAUGGGCAACAGAGUUAAAUUUGUAACCUUGGAUGCAAACAGGUGGGAAAAUAGCUCGCUUUGUAGACUGCUUGUAGCGCAAUCAGGUGAGAGCUAUUUUCUCAUGAUCAGAUGAUGUACAGGAAAUCGCAAAUCAGCUUGAUGUGAUCCAUGCCCAAACUGGACCUUUUUGGUUCAUCAGCAGGGCUACUCUUUUUUUGAAGAGGCAGGGGGAACAAGGCUGGAGUAAAACCUGCACAAAUUGAAGGGUCACUUUAAGAGAGAUUGUUCCUGCAAGGUGACCCUUUCCAGCAUGAUCAAAUAUUGUCCUUUAUCACCACCUGAUCACACCUUUUCUCUAAUUAGUCUGGUUAAAAUUAAUAUCAAUAUGGGGGAAAAAUCCCCCCCCAUAAAAUUUCUUUUUAGACAUUUCCUUUGUGGGGGGAAGAGGGCUUUUUUUAAGUGCCGAAGGAACUAUUCAUAACCUAUGUUGCCAAUAAUUUGUGUACAACCAAAAAGGUACAACCUAUUCAGAAAGAGAAACAGAAACUAGAUGAAGGCUCCUUUUUGCAUUUACAAUAUUAUAAAUUAUAUCAAAGCUCCUUUCUUCAUUUUCCCCCUUGGGAGGAAAAGAUCUGUAUGUCAAUGACAACA
rnacentral:lncRNA from 1 species